rnacentral:rRNA from 1 species
AUACGGAGGGUGCGAGCGGUAAUCGGAAUUACUGGGCGUAAAGCGUACGUAGGCGGUUGGUUAAGUUAGAUGUGAAAGCCCCGGGCUUAACCUGGGAACUGCAUUUAAAACUGGCGAACUAGAGUUGAGUAGAGGGGAGUGGAAUUUCAGGUGUAGCGGUGAAAUGCGUAGAGAUCUGAAGGAACACCAGUGGCGAAGGCGACUCCCUGGACUCGAACUGACGCUGAGGUACGAAAGCGUGGGUAGCAAACGGGAUUAGAAACCCCUGUAGUCC